GGUCAAGCGAAAAUAGGUUUAUGGUGGAUGCCUGAUAGGAGCUUUGAGGCGAAGAAGGCCGUGACAAGCUGCGAAAAGCCAUGGGGAGGAGCCAAUAUCCUGAGAUCCAUGGAUGGCCGAAUGGGGUAACCCGGCGGGAGCGAUCCCGUCACUGC
rnacentral:rRNA from 1 species